GUUUGUAGACAUACCAUUCUGAUCACACCCCACCUCAUCCGACCUAGGAAGCCAAAGGAGGUUAGGAGGGCUAGUGUUUGGAUGGAAGAGAGGCAAAGAGUGGUCCUACAUUCC
rnacentral:rRNA from 1 species